GAUGAACGCUAGCGGCAGGCUUAAUACAUGCAAGUCGUGGGGCAGCAGGUUUGUAGCAAUACAGAUGCUGGCGACCGGCAAACGGGUGCGGAACACGUACACAACCUUCCUUUAAGUGGGGAAUAGCCCAGAGAAAUUUGGAUUAAUACCCCGUAACAUUAUGAUGUGGCAUCACAUUAUAAUUAUAGCUACGGCGCUUAAUGAUGGGUGUGCGGCUGAUUAGGUAGUUGGCGGGGUAACGGCCCACCAAGCCUGCGAUCAGUAACUGGUGUGAGAGCACGACCAGUCACACGGGCACUGAGACACGGGCCCGACUCCUACGGGAGGCAGCAGUAAGGAAUAUUGGGCAAUGGAGGAAACUCUGACCCAGCCAUGCCGCGUGGAGGAUGAAGGUCCUCUGGAUUGUAAACUUCUUUUAUAUGGGACGAAAAAGGGUCCUUCUAGGUCAACUGACGGUACCAUAUGAAUAAGCACCGGCUAACUCCGUGCCAGCCGCCGCGGUAACAC
rnacentral:rRNA from 1 species